rnacentral:rRNA from 1 species
GGAAAAAUGGGGGGCGGGCUAACACAUGCAAGUCGAGCGGAAACGAGUUAACUGAACCUUCGGGGAACGUUAACGGCGUCGAGCGGCGGACGGGUGAGUAAUGCCUGGGAAAUUGCCCUGAUGUGGGGGAUAACCAUUGGAAACGAUGGCUAAUACCGCAUAAUAGCCCGGUUCUUCGGAAUGGGUCUCAAAGAGGGGGACCUUUUAGGCCUCUCGCGUCAGGAUACGCCCAGGUGGGAUUAGCUAGUUGGUGAGGUAAUGGCUCACCAAGGCGACGAUCCCUAGCUGGUCUGAGAGGAUGAUCAGCCACACUGGAACUGAGACACGGUCCAGACUCCUACGGGAGGCAGCAGUGGGGAAUAUUGCACAAUGGGCGCAAGCCUGAUGCAGCCAUGCCGCGUGUAUGAAGAAGGCCUUCGGGUUGUAAAGUACUUUCAGCAGUGAGGAAGGUGGGUAUGUUAAUAGCAUACACAUUUGACGUUAGCUGCAGAAGAAGCACCGGCUAACUCCGUGCCAGCAGCCGCGGUAAUACGGAGGGUGCGAGCGUUAAUCGGAAUUACUGGGCGUAAAGCGCAUGCAGGUGGUUUGUUAAGUCAGAUGUGAAAGCCCGGGGCUCAACCUCGGAAUUGCAUUUGAAACUGGCAAACUAGAGUACUGGUAGAGGGGGGUAGAAUUUCAGGUGUAGCGGUGAAAUGCCGUAGAGAUCUUGAAGGAAUACCGGUGGCGAAUGCGGUCCCCUGGACUAGAUUCUUC